GAGCUUUCUUUCUCUUUUCUUUUGGAUUGUGAGGAUAGAGGAUGUGGACGGAUUCUUUGGAGCUCGGAUCUGACUGGUAACGCAGUAAUACCAAUUUCUUUGCUUCUCUCUCCUUUUUUUCUAGACCUUGGAGACUCCCAAGCAUCAAGGCAUUGCUGAGAGUUGGAAUUCGAGGAGUAACUAUGAGCAAUGUUCGUGGUUUAGGCACUCAAGGCUCUUAGUUCUCGGAAGACAAGUUCGUGACGAAGAUCAAAAUGGACUUCGCUGCUUUACAAACUUUUGUUUCAUCUCUAAAUGGAAACCCAGGUGGAGCUUGUGAUUGAUCGGGGACGUCAAGAUAUUUGGUAAGCAAGACGAGGAUCUCUAGACUUGGAAUCCAACAAGAACCACGUGUGCUAGCAGUGAUCCCAGAUUUUGGUUCAAAUAAGUAUAUUUAGUUUAAUAAAGCUGAAUUCAAAUUUUUUAAAAUAAA